CAGUGGCUAUGUAAACUUGUCUUAAGAUAGGAACGAAUGUCAACAAUUCAUGUUGUUGUUUUGUCUCCGCUGUUCCUUUUAAAAAUGCAAUACUAAGAAUGGCUACUAUAAUGUUCUUUCAGACGGAGCUAUUGAUGGUUCAUGUGAGGGAUCGUGUGAAUCGUUGAAUAGUAAGGGGAAAGAUGCAUGUGAUGAUGAGGAAGCUGUAAUCAGACAACCUGAGAUUGGCACUGGACGUAUUACGAGUGCAUGUGGUUUGCAGAUUAUACACCCGGUUGAUG